UAAGGAAACUCCAAGGAACAUAAACAUAAACAUAAACAAAACAACCUUUCUCUCCCCGAAAAAUUGCCGUACGGUACGUUUCUCCAUGUUAUGAAUGUUUUGUGAUUUUUCAGCGAGAAUUUUUUGUAGAUUAUACUCAUCUAAAUCCAAAAUUCAAUUGACCCAGAAAUCUAGGUUUACUCUUCGAUCUCUUAAAUCCAUUCUUUUCAAUCUGUAAGUUUUUCUCUCUUUCUUUUCCUUCAAGAUCUAGACAUUUUUCUCAAUUUUGGAUCUACCAAACAAUAAUGUCUCAUAAGAAUGAUUCUAAUUACACUUCAAUACCUGUUAGUUCAUCAUCAUAUUUAGAAUUACAGCCACAGAAUGAUUCAUCAAAUUCUUUUCAAAGAUUGUCUUUUGAUGAGGGUGGUGGGUUUUUAGGAUCUAAGGUUGAUGUUGAUGAUGAGGAUGAUUUUGAAAUUGAUAUUGAUAAUUAUCCUCUUGUUGUUGGUCCUAUUCCAAAUCAUGGGUCUGGUGUACCCGGUGCUGUGUUUAAUUUGACCACUACUAUUAUUGGGGCAGGAAUUAUGGCUCUUCCUGCUACCAUGAAAGUUCUUGGUGUUGUUUUAGGGAUUGUGUUGAUUAUUUUGAUGGGGGUUUUGUCGGAAAUUAGUGUUGAAUUGUUGGUGAGGUUUUCGGUUAUGUGUAAAGCAUCGUCUUAUGGCGAGGUUGUUCAACAUGCUUUGGGUAGGCCUGCUAGGAUUUUAUCUGAGAUUUGUAUUAUUUUGAACAAUGCCGGUGUUUUGGUUGUUUAUUUGAUUAUAAUGGGGGAUGUUAUGUCCGGUUCCGUUCAUCAUUUAGGGGUUUUUGAUCAGUUGAUGGGGAAUGGGGUUUGGGAUCAGAGGAAGCUUGUGAUUCUUGUUGUUAUGGUGGUUUUUCUUGCGCCGCUUUGUUCGCUUGAUAAGAUUGAUUCGUUGAGCUUGACUUCAGCUGCAUCGGUGGCUCUUGCUAUCUUGUUUGUUGUUGUCGCUUUCACUGUUGCUUUUAUUAAGCUUGUUGAAGGGAAGAUUGAUGCUCCUAGGAUGGUUCCUGAUUUUAGCUCGAAACAGUCUAUCUUGGAUUUGCUUGUGGUGAUUCCAAUCAUGACAAAUGCAUAUGUUUGUCAUUUUAAUGUGCAGCCGAUAUACAACGAGCUUGAAGGUAGGUCACCGCAGAAGAUGAACCGAGUAGGAAGGGUCACUACAAUUUUGUGCAUCAUGGUUUAUGCUGCAACGGCGCUGUCCGGUUACCUAUUAUUCGGGGAUGAUACCGAGUCUGAUGUUUUGACUAAUUUUGAUAAGGAUCUUGGAAUCCGGUUUAGUUCGGCCUUGAACUAUAUCGUUCGAGUCGGCUACAUUCUCCAUUUGAUACUUGUUUUCCCUGUUAUUCAUUUCUCACUACGCCAAACAGUGGAUACUUUGGUAUUUGAGGGAUCACCUCCUUUAUCAGAAAGUAGGAAGAGGUCGCUAGGGCUGACCGCAAUUCUGUUGGUUCUCAUAUAUAUUGGAUGUACCAUGAUUCCAAAUAUCUGGACAGCUUUUAAGUUCACAGGUGCAACAACGGCUGUUUCGUUAGGUUUCAUAUUUCCACCUCUUGUUGCAAUAAGAUUAAGUCAUCAGGGAGAUUUGAGCCGUGUAGAACGGAUUUUGUCAUGGUUAAUGUUGGUAUUGGCUGUGACUGUUAGCAUUGUAGGAGUCGUCGGCAAUGUCUAUAGCAUGGAGAGUAAGUCUUAGUCACACUUUGUAUUGGUUAAUGGUUGCUUUUCAUAGGAAUCAGGUUGGAACAAGUACAAGGCAUAGGAAGGUGAUUUGUUCAUUGGCUCUGCUGCAUGUGACUCGAGCAGCAAAAGACAGGCAAUGUGAGGAGGAUCAUUCUUUAAUGCAGGAUAAACAUUUUUUCUGUUCUGCCGCGGCCAUGAUAAUUACGGCAGCAUGGGUAUGUUUGAAAAUGGAAUGUUUCAUAAAAUAGGAUUUAAUUCAGAAAAACAAAAGAACCUUGAUUUCAACGGAGUCGGUUUCCAUGCAAGUGCUCUUCACAAAUCAGUUUGGCAUUCUGGACGUGUUUCUGCAAGAGAUCAACUUUAUGUGCAAAACCGAGGGUCCGAAAAAGUUCCACAGCUAUCUUGUGCUGAGCAACAAAUGCAAAAAGCUCCAAAACUUCGCCUUCAUCGAAAGAAGUAAUCAAUCCAUAAAUUGACAAAAGCAGUAGAAAACCAAGAACCACCAAAGAAUUUUCAGUAUUUCCUUUUAUGUUAGCUUUGAAUUUAUGUGCUAGCUUCAAUGCUUGUUCUCUUACACGAGGUUUAAUAAUUGGUGACAUUCCCAUCAGUGUUUCUAGCAGAUAGAUGCGCCAAUCAUCAAUAACCAAAUCAUUGUCAUCCUUCUUACUCAGUGGCAUACUAGGGUUCUGUAUUAUAUCCAAAACAAGUUUUGCAGGAUUUGAUGAUUCUCGCAGAGUAACUAGAAUUUCAUUUUGCUCACUUGGGAGCAAUUGCAAACUUGUUCCACCAA